UUUAUUAUCAUUACGAAAGAGCUGGCACAUAAAUACUUCCAAUAUAUCUCUUUGGAGAGAGAUUUGCUUAGCCUUUGAGCUGGGUAUGUGUUACGUGUUUUUGGGGAUGUGGUUUCGAGGAGUUUUUCAUUUGCUUUAGCCAUAGGGACAAAUAAUAGGUUUGUGAAUGUUUUCCCCCUACUUUCUAAAAGCCUGAGGAUUAGUAUUUCUGCAAUGUUCAGAUGCCUUUUAACUCAAAGGAACAGUUUACGAUACAAGUAUAUUAAAUGUGCUAUGAACUUCCUGACAUAAACAUGCAGAAAUGGUCUCCUGAGGGACAAAAUAAUAAUAAUGAGGAACUAAUUGAGUUGGAAGUAUCUAUUGUUUUUGUCAUGAUGAAUUCUCUACUGUGGAUAGAGAGAAGACCAUUAAACUUGUAUUUCAUUAAAGAUUUCAGAGCUGAUUUUUAAACCAAAGUAGACUGCUUAUUUUGAAUGUCUAUACAAAUAAACUCUCUUAUUUCACAAAUACCUGUUCUUAAACAGACACAAGAAUAUCCAACAGUGAUUAUUUAUUUUAAGACAGAAAAAGCAUUAAGUACUUGCUGGUCUUAAUAGCACCCGUGAAUGGAAUUGCAGUGGAGAUACCUGCUUCGUAUGGAAUGACUAUUUGUUGAAAGGGGGAGGCAGCCCAUUCCAUUCGCUAGAGUAGAGAAUUAAGAGUCAGAAGACCUGGGUUCUCUUCCUGCUCUGCCAUUGACUUAUUGAGGAAAACCUGGGCAAAUGGCUUAAACUCCGUACCCCCAACUUCCUCAUUUUUAAAAAAGGUAAUAACAAUACUCACUUGCCUUUGUAAAAGGACAUGAGAUCCUCCAGAGAAAAAAUAU